CGUGAAAAUGAGGUCGUCAGUGGUCUGAGCAAAGGACUGGUGUUUGUUUGAUGACAUUUAUACGGGAAAAAGGAAGUGCCGUUGGGUUCAAGGUUAACGAUUCGCCAGCUUGCCAUGGCAACGCGAUCUCUGCAGCAUUGGUUGCGAGGUUGGCAUAAUCUGACAUUUACGGAUGCAACGAAAUGGCCGCUGAAAACAGGAGAAGCACAAUGGUGUCAGUUGCCUAACAGGAGCCUAUUUUCGGCCCAAGUUUUGAGGUUUCGACAGGCUGGAAAUCAAGUAACGUGUGACACAACAUUCCAUUACCAUGACGACGACGUAUCAAACUUUAGAGGAAUCGACAACAGACGACCACGGUCAACAUGAACCAACCAGCAUCCCUCUACCCCAGGUUGGCUAUCCAGGUUACAGCAAUGGGUCGCAACCUGUUGGACAAAUUUCCAACCAAUACCGGCCCGCCUAUCGGACUAAAUUGGCACUAAAACUAGGAAUUCUCCAAAUCUUUCUCGGAACGAUGGCGGUGGUGUGCGGAAUUGUGAUUCUUGCGAUGAGAGUGUUCCUCUAUUUUACCGGAAUGGGAAUCGGCGCUGGCGCCCUCUUUGUAGCGGCAGGGAUAUUCGGUGUGGUCUCGUCGCGUCAGAAGGCAACAUGGGCCAUCGUCACGUGUAUGGUUCUGUCCAUCGUAUCUGCGGUAGCGGCUGGCGUCUCCAUCAUCGCUUCUGCAGAAGGAAUCGACUUGCAUUUUAAACGUAUGUACAGAUCAAUCACGCCGAAAGAGGUCGACACCGGUAUCAUAACGCAUAUUGUCCUCAUCGUCUGUUGCGUCCUGGAAAUGAUGGCCUCAUGUUUACAAGCAACCAUUUGUUGCCGGGCAACAUGCUGCAUGGCAGGUAAUAUGCGACCGGAAAUAAUGGUGGUCUACUUGCCGCAACCUGUGAUGAAUUCAAAUCAGCAGUUUGGGGGAACGUCAGUGAUGCCACAGCUUAUGGUUCCUCCACAAGGAGUUGCACAACAGCAACAUAGCCAUGCCGGACAAAAUGGCGUGAUUGCAAAUGGCGGACAACAACACGUACCGUAUGCUCCAGCCGAAGGAAAUGGAUACUGAUUUUAAUAGCAUAAAAUGUAAGCUCCCUCCGUUUGGAAUGUGCCAUAAGUUCGAAAAUCAAACGGAAGAAUACGCAAUUUGUACUAAUACUUAUAAUAGGAUAUUGUAGGCCUUUUUGGUGUCAUCAUAUCACUGUUACUCAAAUAUUAUCAUCAUGUAUGACUGUUGCCCAACGCUGGAAGCGGCCACGAGUGGGUAACAAGAAGUUGUGAUAUUUUGCAUAAACUACAUGUAUAAGAAUGUGCAUGACGCUCUUUCGUGAAAUUCGGUAACAUUAGGCAGGUUUCGCAAAAGCGUAAGGGUGUACUGAGGAAGAAAAUAUGUUGGCCAAGAGUUCUGCGCGAAAUGACAGCCACACCCGCCGUAAUUUUGGCUGAAAUGCCAGCUCUACCCGAGCGGAGUUUGGUGCGGCAACCAUGUACCGACAGUGAGGUAGCACGGACGUAGAGCAUCUAUAAACGUGGAGGUACCAAUUUUUAAUUUAGAAAUCUCAAACUUGAUGUAUUUUAGACCCAUCCUCCGGGAAUCUGCUUUUGACACAUUUUAUACCAAUCUAAGAGGUUAUGGUAGUCUCACUGAAACCUCUGUAGUCAAAACGAUCCAUUAAAUGAAACAUUGCAGCCAAUGUGUUUUAGAAUGCACUUUCAUCACGUUGCACACGGAGGCUAAAGGAUACACCUGGUGGAUACUCUGUACACUACUGACUGCCAUAUUGGAUUCCGGGAAGGCCGAGGCUGUGUGAUGAUUCUAUAGGCAUGGUUAUGGUCAAACUACGCAUCACUUCUGCAUAGUCAAGUUGUUUUUGCCUGUGCUAGGUUCACGCGGCGGAGGCUAAAGGAUAACCUGGUGGAUACUCUGUACACUACUGACUGCCAUAUUGGAUUUCGGGAAGGCCGAGGCUGUGUGAUGAUUCUAUAGGCAUGGUUAUGGUCAAACUACGCAUCACUUCUACAUAGUCAAGUUGUUUUUGCCUGUGCUAGGUUUACGCGGCGUUUAUGGAACGAUGUAGGCUUUAUAACACGUCCACUGUUUUGCUAGAUUUUUAUUUUCAUAUUGUUUGUAAUUUCACUUUGUGCACUGCUGUAUAAAAUGUAUCCUGCCACUUUAACUCUAUCACUGAUCUCGAAAUCCCUGCAUUGCGAUCAUCAUCACCGUUCUAGACAUAAACCGUGGGCCAUUCCAAAAAGUUGUCUUCGGGGGUAGAGUAAAAAUUCUUUAUCAUAGUAAAAUGAGGUGAUCGCAUGGCAAAAUAAAAACAUUUCCACAAAAAGAGUUGCACGUCGGCUAUACUGCCUUUAUUCACAGGGAUAUCCCACACUAACGCUAGCAAUUUUGAUUCAACUACUGGCUACUAGGUGGCAUAAACCUGCUCCAUUUAGUGCUGUCACCUGCUAUCGAAUUCAUGAGCUAUGAUUUUCUGGAUACUAAAGUCAAUAGCGAGUUUCCGAAAAUUUUACGAAUAUCAAAUUACGAAUAACGAAUUGCUAUUUAUCCGAGAAAGAGACCACAAGAUCAUUGGUUUCUAGGCUUAUCAACGUCCGUUAACAUUAGAAGGGUCACUCGGGUUCCAGCGUUCUUUCACCUCUUAGUCGCAGCGAGUUUUGAAUUCGUGGUGACGAACUGGCUGAGUCGUUACGAAUUAGUCUACAUUGUUGCAGCGUCUGAUUUUUCAACAAGACCGGAACUGGACGAAAGCAUUUUAAAACUCCUAAUACAUAACACCGGAUACAGCUGACUGCAAAAUGGAACGCGAGUUACUUCGUAAUGAUAAGUUCUUAAUUCCUAAUUCCUAGUCGUGAGAUUUGCGGAAACUCAGUAUACAUGUAUCUGGUUUAGGGGCAAUUGUUUUAUGUAAUGUGAAGGAAACACCUUUACUAAUAACAAUAAUAACAUUUUUACUCCAACCUCUUAUAUUUUGACACGAAUUCAAAAACAAAGCUCCUUUUUUUUCAAUUUGGCCCACAGCCAAACAUCGCUGCUGAUGAACUUAAGGAAAAUUGACGAGGGCUUGAGCUCGUCCACCUUCCCUCUCACUAGAGUGACUCAACCACUCUCUUGAUUACAUCACAGAGAGUGGCCCGGAACUGGCCAAUAGUGGUUACACACUGGCCUCCUAGAGGUAGCUUAUACGUAGCGACAACGUAUAUUACAGAGGUUGGUCGUCGAUUUUCAAACAUGGAAUAUUUCAUUGAAUUAAAUCUGCUAGUCCAUACUGACAA